rnacentral:lncRNA from 12 species
UUUUCUGCCCCCCCCACCCCCGCCCCCCACGUCAGCUUCUCCGGGAGCCUGGCUCCCUCCUUGCCACUCUCCUGUGCCAGGGCUCCUGCUCUAACCUGCCGCUGCACUUCCAGAACAUUCCGUCCCCAGGGCGUCUGAGCACACGGCAGGUGCUCAGUGGGGCUGAGUAACCAGCUCCGACUCCGGUCUGACGGGCCCGCCGAGAGCCCUUAAUCACCCACAGAUGCUUCCAGUGCAGAGAGCUUACAAAGCUUCUCCUUCCAGAAGGCUCUGCUCGGCUCCUUAGCAGAGCUGCAGGCAGGUGAUGGGCGGGGCGAGGCUACCGAAGGCUGGCCUCCCAGACCAGGCUUCCCGGAGGACCAAGACUUAAGAAAUGGAACGUAGGUUCUGCUCGUAACACGGAGAAACAUUUUUAACCCUUUCACCAUGUGACGAAUAUCCGUUCCUUGCAGAAAAAUAUAAAAUUCAUAACAAAGAAGAAAAAGUCGCUCCCCAGCCCAUGGCACAGAAGGAUGGCUCAUUCUGCGGCUUUGUGGGCCCACAAAACAGGCGCACGGGUUUACACAGUCCUUUCCUCAUCUCCGGUGACGAGGCGUGCUGUCUACACCUCAACCCCCAGGCGUGCUGUCUACACCUCUCCCUUGAACUCCAGGCCAGCGCACAGGCCCUGCCGACAAACGGAACCCACAGAUGCAUAGAGAGAGAAAGGUUCGUGGUGAGCGAUGGCUCAUGAGGUCCCGGGAGCCCACACCCUCGAGGUGAGGAUGAGUCAGCAGGCUGCAGGUCCAGGGAGCCGAUAGCUCAGCGCCAGGCAACGGGGGAAAGGCUGGCAUCCCGGUUCCGACGCCAUCAAGCAGGAGAACCCCUUCGGACUUGGGCUAGGGCAGUCUGUUUGCUCUAUCCAGCCCUUCGCCUGCUUGGAUGAGGCCCACCGCGGCGGGAGGGCCGUCCGCUUCCUCAGUCUCUAUUGCUUUAAAUAUUAAUCGUAUCCAGAGACGCCCAGAGUAACGUCGGACCAAACGUCAGCUCCCCGCGGCCUGGCCUUGAAGCGGGACCCCAGUCCCGACCCGCUGGAGAGACUUCCGCCCGGGAGGCCAAGGCCGC